GGGCGGUUAGCUCAGUUGGUUAGAGCGUCUGCCUUACACGCAGAAGGUCAGAGGUUCGAGUCCUCUCCCGCCCA
rnacentral:tRNA from 1 species